UGAGUACGAGAUGCUACGGCGUCGAAGCAGUCUAGGUCAUACUUCCAAGAAAAGCUUGCACUGUCAUAAACAAAGAAUGCCCGUACCAUAACCGACACAGGUGGGUAGGUAGAGUAUACUAAGGGGCGCGAGAUAACUCUCUCUAAGGAACUCGGCAAAAUGACUCCGUAACUUCGGGAGAAGGAGUGCCUUAUUUUUAAGGUUGCAAUAACAAGAUCCAAGCAACUGUUUACCAAAAACACAGGUCUCCGCUAAGUCGUAAGACGAUGUAUGGGGGCUGACGCCUGCCCAGUGCCAGAAGGUUAAAGAAGUUGGUUAGCAUUUGCGAAGCUGAUAACUGAAGCCCUGGUGAACGGCGGCCGUAACUAUAACGGUCCUAAGGUAGCGAAAUUCCUCGUCGGGUAAGUUCCGACCCGCACGAAAGGCGUAAUGAUUUGGAUACUGUCUCGGAGAGGGGCUCGGUGAAAUAGACUUGUCUGUGAAGAUGCGGACUACCUGCACCUGGACAGAAAGACCCUAUGAAGCUUUACUGUAACUUGAGAUUGAAAUUGGACUUUAUUUGCGCAGUAUAGGUGGGAGGCGUUGAGAAUAAUCUUGCGGGAUUAUCGGAGCCAUCAGUGAGAUACCACUCUUGUAAUGUUAGAUUUCUAACUUUGUAUCAUUAUCUGGUCAAAGAACAGUUUCAGGCGGGCAGUUUGACUGGGGCGGUCGCCUCCCAAAGGGUAACGGAGGCGCACAAAGGUUUCCUCUGAACGGGUAGAAAUCGUAUCUAGAGUGUAAAGGCAUAAGGAAGCUUGACUGUGAGACCUACAAGUCGAGCAGGGACGAAAGUCGGUCUUAGUGAUCUGACGGUGCUGAGUGGAAAGGCCGUCACUCAACGGAUAAAAGUUACUCUAAGGAUAACAGGCUGAUCUCCCCCAAGAGUUCACAUCGACGGGGAGGUUUGGCACCUCGAUGUCGGCUCAUCGCAUCCUGGGGCGGUAGUACGUCCCAAGGGUUGGGCUGUUCGCCCAUGAAAGCGGUACGCGAGCUGGGUUCAGAACGUCGUGAGACAGUUCGGUCCAUAUCCGGUGUAGGCGUUAGAAUAUUGAAAGGAGCCUUCUCUAGUACGAGAGGACCGAGAAGGACAUACCUCUGGUGUGCCAGUUAUCGUGCCAACGGUAAACGCUGGGUAGCUAUGUAUGGAGUGGAUAACCGCUGAAAGCAUCUAAGUGGGAAGCCCACCUUAAGAUAAG
rnacentral:rRNA from 1 species